rnacentral:lncRNA from 1 species
AUGUUUGGUACAAUCUUAUCUAACUUUGUUCAUUUGAGUUUAGCCAUGCUUGGCUAAGCAAAUCUUGGUUGACUUUUUGUUGAAUCUUUUGAACUUUUGUUGGAUGUUGAAGAAUCCAUGAACUUGUUCUUAAAUCUUUAUGGAAUUGUUUUGUGUUUUAUCAUAUUAUCACUACUAGUAUGUUUUUAUUCAUGAGUUUAAAUAUGUUUGUGGUGAUUAGUUGGCUAAUUUCUUGAUUAAGUAAAUGAUCCUCAAAUUAGCAAGCAACAAAUGAUUUUUGUGUUGUUUUUGCUUCACACAAUCAUAAAAACAUUUCCUCCAACAUGGUAGUGAAAGAAAUUGACUCCUCUUGGAUUUGGUGACUUUUUGGUUCUUAAUGCUAGUUGACUUUCACUAAUUACAUGCUAUUUGGAAUUAGUGACUUUGACUAAGGAAAUUGUUAUGAGCUUCUCUAGCCAUUUCAACAAUUAAGAAAAGUCUAGGUAAUCUCAAGCUCCUUGGAUUACUAUAGCCAAAUUAAGGAUUUAAAUCAAAGUAUUGCACCAUUGGAUUCUAAUGAUAUGUUCAUCAAAAGUCAAAGUGAGGAAACUUUAAGUCAACCAUCUCUCCCUUAUUGAUUUUACAUCAAACUCUUAUUUUUGUUGCAUUUGUCUAUUUAAAUCAUAGUUAAUUCUAGUUUGUUUCAAGUAUUUCAAAACACCAAAACCCCCCAUUUUAUUUUUAUUGUCAUUUUACAAGUAUUUUUACAAAGAGAUUUUUCAUAGAGUUAUAAAUUGAACCAAUCUCCGUGGAUUCGAUCCCUUUACCACUAUACACUAUUUUAGUGUGUAAUAUUUAGGGUUAUUAUUUGUGUUGGCCUCGACAACCACCAAAUUUUUGGCGCCGUUGCCGGGGAUUGGUUUUGAUUUAAUCAGUUUGUUUCUCUAUGCCUAGAUCUCAUUGUGCAUGUACUCUAAUUUAAAAUCCAGAAUUAAAAAAAAAAGAGUAUGGUUCGGAAAUGAAUACUACUUGCACCGAAGACCAACUUUCUGAGCUAGCUCAGUUAGUUAUGAUGAUUGAAAGUGACCAAAGUGUGCAACCCACACCUCUUCUUUGCGAUUUUUGUGCCCAAAAUGGACAUCAUUCCGACACGUGUCCAUAUUUACAAGGAGAAUGGGAAGAAGUGCAAGAUAAGGGAAGCUACUACCGGUCAAACCAAUGGAGUUAUGAUCAGCCUCAACAUGAUCAAUGGUGGGACAACAACCAAGUUUGGGGAAAUAACCAUUACCAAAACCCAUACCAAACAUGGGGAAAUAACCAAUACCAACCAACUCCACUGUUCCAAGAACCCUAUCCUUACCCUCCUCAACAAACUGAAACGCCAAGCAUGUCCUUAGAGGACAUUGUGAAAAGCAUUGCCACUUCUACCCAAAUUUUCCAGGAAACAACUCAAGCUAGCCUCAAAAGCUUAGAGCAACAAAUAACACAAAUUUCUCAAUCAUUGAGUAUAGUGGAAUCUCAACACAAAUUACCAUCUGAAGAGAGCCCAUGUCAUAACGCAUGUUGCAUUCCUUUGAAAGAUGAGAAAACUUUUGAUGCCCCAAGAGUGUUAUAUGAAGAAGAGGAAGAAGAAGUAGAAGUGGAAGAAGUUGUCAAAGAGGAAGAAGAAAUUAAGAAUGUUGUCAAUGAAACUGUAAAGGAAGUAAUAGGGGUUAACGAAAGAGAGGUUGAGUCACCCACUACCAUUGAGAAACUAACUCCAGUGGUAGACCAACCACAAGAGCCACAAACGAUAAAUUUGUCGGACUCUUCAAAGGUUACCUAUCCCGAGAAAGAAGACGCCCAACCGGUCACCUACUCAACCACCAUGUCAAAGAGGGAAGAGUUGGUCACCUUACGGAACAAGUACGAGAGAGAAUAUGGUUGGAUGAUUUCUAUUAUCAAAGGUCUAAGUCCGGUAUGGUUCUCCCGUAAAAAGAAAGUCAAAUACAAGAAAAGAGUCCCAAUGGAGGUGUGGAAAUUAAAAAAUGUAGACACGGGGCAAAUUUGCAAGGUUAAUGGACAUCGAUUGAAGCCAUUCAAUGAAGGUUUUGAUUCAAAUGUCCAAGAUGUCGUCCAUUUGGACGCCCCAAAGUGUUAAAGUGAAGUUUGGAGGCGUCUCGCCAAAGACGUUAAAGAAGGGCAUUUUUGGAAAGCAUUGUGUUUUCGUGUUUUUAAUUUGAACAAAAUGAGUUUUGAAGAUGUUUUUGGGAUUCAAAAGAGUUUUUUUUUGAAGAAAUCAAGAGUUUCUAGGUGUUUGGGGCUGUCCGAAGCAAGAACGGGUGAAAAACGAAGAAAAAUGAAGCGAAAAUGAAGAUCAGGAUCAGCGGGUUGCGCGACCCGCGUGCUGUUGCGCGGGUGGGUUGCGCGGCCAGGUGUGAUGAAGCGACAUUGGCCCAAGACUUAACUGCAAGGUCUGCGCGACCCGCGUGCUACUCUGCGCGACCCGCGCACUGUGCUGGGCAAUUUGGGCUAUUUUUGGCUAUUAUUUGACCAAGUGUUGACCAAAGGUUUUAAUGAGUUGACCUUUUGACUUUUCUUGACCAACAUUGACCGAAAUUGACCCUUUUUGACCCAUAGAUUAAAAUGUUCAGCUUCCCUUCUCCCUCAUUUAAUCAUCUUGACCUCCCACUCCAUUCCUCUCAUAUAACCUUCCAGCACCCACCUCGCCGGAAAAUUCAAGAUUGUCGGAGUUCUACUGGUCGUAAUUUCACGAAACCACCGCCACAAACAUCUCCCGUCAUCCAAUCCUCCGAUUUAGGUCAUUUUUGCCCUUACCUUAAGCAUUGAGGACAAUGCUUGUUCUUAAGCUUGGGGUGGGGCAUUUCAUUUUCCUUUUAUUUUUUUUUUCCAUGCAUUUUUAAUUAGGUUGCAUAACAUUUUAGAUUUAAGCUAAUUUUCAUUCAUUUUUUUUAAAAUCCAAAAAAAUUUUAUUUUUUCUUUUUCACCUUUUAUAUUUUUGCAUAACAUUUAGCUUAGGCAUUAACAUUCAUGCAUUUUUGUUGUCUGUUUAUUCUCACCCCUGGAUGCCAUGGAAUAGGUUCACAGUUAUUGUAUCAUUAUUGGUCCAGGAUCUUGUUGUUAUCUCACCCAUCGAACCGGGACCAUUAGCUGCAGUUUGGGAUCUCAUACUUGGGAUCAGAUGCUGGUAGCUUAAAGGGGUAAGUGAUCAUGGACAGGUAGUUUUCAUGAAGAAUUAUGCAUACAAUACUAAUGACUGUAGGAUAUACUAUAGCAAUGGAUGUCUUAGCCUUGCGGUCACUACCGCCGAGAGGAUCACACUUGAUCAUGUUUGAACCGUUAGGAUGAAGCACUAGUGCUUGUCCCCGAGUAGAAUCCAUAUCCGGUCUCUUUACAUCACCAUAUCUUUUUGCGAUUUUCUUAGGAUUUUAGAGAAGUCUUUUAGUCCGCAUGUGGACAUUUUCAUUAUUUUUGAAAAAAAAAUCACAAAUUUGAAGAGGAGCUUACAUUAUAUCUUUAUGCUCCACACAUGGUCAUUUUCUCGCUUAGACCAUUCGGAUUAUAUUACUACCCUUUCGGUUCCACUUACACAUUUUAGGAACCAAAUUUUGAGUCAAAGGGUUGUUAUUACAUUACCUUCAAGUAUGGUAACAAAAAGAAAACAAAAAACAAAAAAAAACAAAAAAAAAAAAAAAAAAAAAAAAAAAAAAAAGGGGGCAGGCAAAUUCCCAGCUGCAGAAAUCUGAGAAGGGUGACCGGUUCAAUUAUUGAACUAAAUUUUCCAACAUUUUGGUCACCCGACGUUUGAUAUUCAUUUAUUUAGGUAUGUUUUAUUGUAUAUAGAUCGAGUUGUUUUUCGCAAAUUGGUGAUGUUAGGGAGACUGUCGAGUCGGAUACUACGGGAGGUUUGGGCCAACACCAAGUGAACCGAUUCCUACAACGGUGCCCGAGCGAUUAAACCUAGUUACACAUGAGAGAAACCGGCAAACGUGAGAUCAGAGUGUACACUUAAAGAAGAGCUCCACCCGAGCCCAUCCAGCUGCUUUCUCCCUACUACAGAUAUUCUUCAUUGUAUGCAUGUUCCAUUGAGGCUGCGACUGCUCAUCCCUCCUUACUCACCUAAAGGAGUUAUCCUGGCUGUGGUUUAUGGUCCCUUUGUCAUCGGAUGAAAAAGUAAUGAGAUAAUAGCAAGAUCAGUUCUGACCAUGUUGACUAACAGUGCUCAAGUUCUGCGGUUCUAUCCAUUCUUUUUAUUUUCCUUAGGAUAGUUCAUCCCGAGUUCAUUUUAGUCUUGUCUUACUUGAGGACAAGUAAGGUUUAAGCUUGGGGUGAUUUGAUAGUUUCAUUUUAUUUACUUCUUUUUAUAGUUUAUUUUAGCAUAUUUCAUCCAUAAUCUAGUUAAUUUUCAUGCAUAUUUUCCUUUUUGUUAUUUUAUGACUAUUUCGGGCACUUUCUAGUUUCGUGAGCUUUAUUGCAGAUUUCAUGGAGACUAGUGGAGCGGGAAUGUUCGGGACGUAUGGAAAGCGAUGGGAAUUGGUGGAAAACAAGGAUCUUAGGCUUGAUGGGUGGUGGAGAUGAUGCAUGGAGCGAGCUUGAUGAUUAUUUGAAGGCUUGGAGAGAAAUAAACAUUUAAAUUUGCAAGAUGCGGGAGUAUAUUCAAGCAUGCAUAGAUUAUUAAUCGGGCGAGUUUACGAGCUAUGAAUCAUUUGGAGAAGCCAAAUUGGGCUUAAAUUGAAGAAAACUUGAAGAAAAAUGGGCUAGGAGCUGAUUGGGCUCGCACUGGGCCAAGUGGGCUAAGCUAUGGAGGCCCAAAACCUCAAAGAUGCUACAUUCAGGGACCACCCGCGCAACCCACCCGCGCAACAGCACGCGGGUCGCGCAACCUCCUGCAGGGGCAGUUUCGGAAAUUCUUCUUUUGAGCUAUUUGAGGAAGGUUGGUGCCCAUCUUUUGGAGACUCUUGGACAUCCGAUUUUUGGAGAUUCUCUCUGGAGUUUUGAAGACUUUUGAAGGCCAAGAACACUUGAAGAACAUCAUAUUUUUACCUCUUGAUUCUUGCUUAAUGUUUGGUACAAUUUUCUCUAACUUUGUUUCUUUGGGUUUAGCCAUGCUUGGCUAAACUAAUCUUGGUUGACUUUUGGUUAAUCCUUUGAACUUUUGUUGAAUGUUGAAGAAUCCAUGAACAUGUUCUUAAAUCUUUAUGGGAAUGUUUUGUGUUUUAACAUCUUAUCACUACUUGUAUGUUUUAGUUCAUGAGUUUAAAUGUGUUUGUGGUGAUUAGUUGGCUAAUUUCUUGAUUAAGUAAAGGAUCCUCAAAUUAGCAAGCAACAAAUGAUUUUUGUGUUGUUUUUGCUUCACACAAUCAUAAAAACAUUUCCUCCAACAUGGUGGUGAAAGCAUUUGACCCCUCUUGGAUUUGGUGACUUUUUGGUUCUUAAUGCUAGUUGACUUUCACUAAUUACAUGCUAUUUGGAAUUAGUGACUUUGACUAAGGAAAUUGUUAUGAGCUUCUCUAGCCAUUUCAACAAUUAAGAAAAGUCUAGGUAAUCUCAAGCUUCUUGGAUUACUAUAACCAAAUUAAGGAUUUAAAUCAAAGUAUUGCACCAUUGGAUUCUAAUGAUAUGUUCAUCAAAAGUCAAAGUGAGGAAACUUUAAGUCAACCAUCUCUCCUUUGUUGAUUUACAUCAAACUCUUAUUUUUGUUGCAUUUGUCUAUUUAAUUCAUAGUUAAUUCUAGUUUGUUUCAAGUAUUUCGAAACACCAAAACCCCCUAUUUUAUUUUUAUUGUCAUUUUACAAGUAUUUUUACAAAGAGAUUUUUCAUAGAGUUAUAAAUUGAACCAAUAUCCGUGGAUGCGAUCCCUUUACCACUAUACACUAUUUUGGU